rnacentral:tRNA from 2 species
GGGCCUGUGGUGUAACCUGGAUAGCACGUCUGGCUUCGGACCAGGAAAUCGGGGUUCAAAUCCUCGCAGGCUCA